AUGAUUUUAGGGAGCCAGUCUUCCUUUAAUCUAAAUGCUGCUCUGUGUGUGUGUGUGUGUCGUCUUGGUGUGUCUGUGUGUGUCCAGAUGGCUCUACAGGUGCUGGAUGCGGUGGUGUGUUAUAACUGCCUCCCCUCUGACUCCCUCACCGUCUUCAUCAUCACUCUCUGUCGCACCGUCAACGUCAAGGAGUUCUGUGAGUCCUGCUGGAAGUUGAUGAGGAAGGUGUUGGGGACUCAUCUGGGCCAUAGUGCCAUAUACACCAUGUGCCGUAUCAUGGAGGAGAGGGCGUAUAUGGAGGAUUCUCCAUUGCUGAGAGGAGCAGUGUUCUUUGUAGGGAUGGCUCUAUGGGGGCGCACCGUCUCCAGCCUUAAAGAACACCCCUACCCUGGUCCUCCCAUCAUUCUAUAAGGCGAUGUGGUGUGCCAACGAGAUGGUUCAUAUGAGAUCGUUCUGUCCAUCACCAGACUGAUAAAGAAGUAUGGCAAGGAACUCCAGGUGGUCACAUGGGACAUACUGCUGGGGAUCAUAGAGAGGUUACUACAGCAGAUUCAGUCUAUAGGCAGUGCAGAGCUGAAGUCCAUAGUGUUUGAGUUGCUGACUACAGUGGAGGAGCUCUAUGAGCAGAAUGGCUUCCAUGGAUCAUCUGACAAGUUCUUCAGUCUGGUGGAGAAGUGUGCUGACAAAAGACCUGAUGCGUCGGUGCUGACUCUGAUAUCGUACCGGGCCCCGUCCAUCCCGCCAGCUAAAGACGGGUGGAUCCAGAGCCUACAACCGCCUUAUGGAGAAGUUCUUCAGGAAUGAGAGUCGAGGUGUGAUCAGGAUCAAAGUGCUUCACAUCCUCUCCUUUGUCCUCAGCACCAACCGCCAGCUCUACGAGGAGGAGCUGAUCGAGGUGGUGGUGGUUCCUCAGCUCAGUGGGAUAGCAGAGGACAGAGACCUGGCUGUGAGGAGGAACAGGCUACCCAGCUACUGGUGGACCUGGCUGAGAGCUGUAGUACACACCACUUCACCAGCCUCCUGGACAUCAUUCAGAGGGUGGCGAGUCGUUCGCUGGUGUGCCCAGGGCCCCUGGAGGUGUCGGAGAGAGACCCCACGACAGAAUCCCCCAUGGAGGAUGUCAGGACGGCUAUACGAGGCCUACUGGAGAUACUGCAGAGUAAGCUGUACAGCCUGCCAGCCAGCCACGCUAGUCGAGUGUACGAGCUGCUGAUCGGACACCCUGCAGCUGCACUACAAGAGCAAGUACACCUCCGCUGUGGCCUGCAGCAUACGACUACAGGUGUUUGACUUCCUCCUGAUGAUGAGAACGGACUCCCUCCAUCGUCUGGGGUUCCUCAGUAAAGACGGGGUUCUGAGGUUCAGUCCUUACUGCCACUGUGACAUGGGGGAGCCAGAGAAACGAGGGAGUGAGAAGAAGCCUGCAGGUUCAGUGUCUCCCCCUGCUGGCAGUCCUGCCCCCUCCUCCUCCACCACCACCACUACUCCCUCCUCCACCACCACUACUCCCUCCUCCAACAUCCGUACAGCCUGCCUGCCCUACUCACCUGCCUUUAAUGUGCUGCUACAGUGCCUGAAGAUGGAGACCGACUGGAAGGUGUUGAAGCUGGUACUAGACAAGAUGCCCUGGACCCUGCAGUAUAAAGUCCUGCUGCUGUCCUCUCCCUGCAGCAUAGACCAGCUCUGUUCUACACUCUGUUCUAUGGUGACAGACCGUCUUAUCUCAGAGCGUCUGAAGAAGACUCCAGAUGGUUUCAGUCGUACUGAUGUCCAGCUGGCUGUAGUACCUGUUCUCACUGCUAUCACAUCAUACCACAACUAUCUAGAACAGGCCAGACAGAGGGAGUUGGUUCAGUGUCUGGAAGCAGGGCUGAUAUACCGCUGUGCCAAGCAGUGUGUGGUUGCCCUGACAAUGUGCACCGUGGAGAUGCCUGACAUCAUGAUUAAACUCCUCCCCGCCCUCAUCGUCAAGCUGACGCACAUCUCGGCAACCGUCGCCAUGGCGUCGCCCAUGCUGGAAUUCCUGUCCACUCUGGUGCGGCUGCCACAUCUCUAUGCUUACUUUGUAGCAGAGCAGUAUGUCAGUGUGUUCGCCAUCUCCCUGCCCUACACCAACCCCUCCAAGUUUAACCAGUACAUUGUGUCGUUGGCUCACCAUGUCAUCUCCAUGUGGUUUAUCCGCUGCCGACUCACCUUCAGAAAGGACUUUGUGCAGUACAUCACCAAGGGUCUGCGCUCUAAUGCUCUGAUGCCGUUCGAUGACACCCAGGACACUCAGAGCAGCUUCCGUGCUCGCAGCACCAGCCUCAAUGAGAGGCCCAAGAGCCUACGGGCAGCCAAAAUGGCGAAGGCCCACCAGCAGCAGCAGGCGUCAAUGGCAGCGGGCGUAGCGGCGAGUACCGGCUCUCCCGUUAAAGAGCUGAGAGAUCUGUCGGCCUUCCGCUCCCGAAGCAUCAGCGUCUCCGAGCACGCGGUGCGCAGGAUGCACACCUCCAGCACCACGUGUAGUCUGGGUUCUUCUGACGAGAACACCGUGAGCCAGGCAGACGAUGGGUUAAAGACCGUCCACCUGGAGUUAACGGAGACCUGUCUGGACAUGAUGGCUCGAUACGUCUUCUCCAACUUCUCAGCGCUGCCCAAGAGGUCUCCUAUAGCAGAGUUCCUUCUUGCGGGGGGUCGCAGUAUGACCUGGCUGGUGGGUAACAAGCUGAUCACCAUAACGACCAGCGGUGGGGUCAGGAGCCAGGCCCUACUGGGAAUGGACAUGGCUGAGAGGCUGGGAGGAGGGGGAGAGAUGACCAGGUCAGACCCCUCCCUUCACACCCGUCAGACCAAAGAGGCUCCGGCCAAACUGGAGUCCCAGUCCAGUCAACAGCUCAACAGAGCCUCACGCAUCAGAGUACGAUCCAUGUCAGGUGGCCAUGCCCUCCGUGCAGGUCCAGCCCAGAGCCUCAGCCCCCUGGUCUCACCCUCUGAGGGUGGAGAGCUGUGUGGUGUCCCCCUCUCUCCCCCCUCCUCCUCCUCCGGCCCCUGUCUGGAUGGCCUGGAGCCCCCCUCUCCUUCCCCCUGUGCCCCCCCUAAGGACCCCCUCAAAGACAAGCCCAGCCUGGCAGAGUUCCUUCCCGUUCUGACCCAGGGAUGGGCCGAGAUCUUCAUACGCAGACCCUCAGGUAACACCAGCUGGUUGAUGUGUCUAGAGAACCCUCCCAGUCCCUUCUCCUCUGAGCUGGGUAACAUGCCUCUCCAGGAGCUGUCCUCUGUCCUCAUGGCCAUGGAGGGGGUCAAGGAGCCCCCCACCCAGACUGCCAGCGCCCCCGCCAGCACAGCCACGCCCGCCCCGACCCCCGUAGACCUUAACCCCCCUGGACCCAUCCAAGGGGGCAAGCCUGGACUCAUCCAGCGCUCUAACACAGUGGGCUCUCUCUCCUCUCUGGGUCUGUCCUUCGCCCCGCCCCCAGUUCCGGUUCGGCUCCAACGGAGCAUUUCCUGGGCAGACUCUGUGGUAGUGCUAGAGGGGACAGGGGUCAGGGGCCACGUAGACUACCCCUCUGAUUGGCCAGAGGCGGAGAAGUUUGAGGCCAUGCCCUCUGAACCCAUCUACAUCGCUGCUGACAAGUUCACCAAGGCCCUGCCCCUAGAACACUCAUCGUCCUCCAGUUCCAGCCAGGAGGAUGAGAAGUCCACCCUGGAGGAGGUGAGUGAGGGGUUCAUCCCCAUCGACCAGCCCCCCCUGGCCCCCUCCACCCCGGGCAGCCAAGGCCCAGAGCUCCCCUUCCAGACCCAGAACCAGCCUGAGACCCAGACCCUCAACAAGUCCAGCUCCUCCCCUGAGCUCCAGACCCUACCAGAGGCCUUCCCCAAGACCACAACAGGACCCGGGGCCGGAGGAGGAGAGGCACCCGGGGUUCGGUCCCCCUCGGAGGGGAAGAGCCAGCCACAACAGCCCCCGGUGGAGAAAGAGAUAGAGAAGGUGGAGAGUGGAGGAGGAGGGGUGAACAGACAGAAUCAGAGUGGGGAUACCACCCCAGUGACAGGGGGGUUGUCUGGGACAUCGGGAGGAGGAGGGGUGAACAGACAGAAUCAGAGUGGGGAUACCACCCCAGUGACAGGGGGGUUGUCUGGGACAUCGGGAGGAGGAGGUUCCUCUUCCUCGCAGGGAGCCAGGAUGAGGUUGGAGUUCCCAGCGCCCCACCAGCCUGGACCCCUCUCCCCCAGCGGAGGGCACCGUCCCAGGGGUCACACCAUCUCAGUGUCCGCCCCCUCCUCCAGGAGAGAGAGGAUAGGAGGAGAUGCGUACCACACCACCCGUCCCGGACCCACCAACACUGAGAAGACCAGUGGACUCAGUCCCAGUUUUGUGUUCCUUCAGCUCUACCACUCUCCCUUCUUUGGCAACGAGGCCAACAAGCCUCUCCUGCUGCCCAAGUCUCAGCUGAUCGACAGAGCGGUGAAGGUUCUGGACCAGAUGCCUCCGUACGAUACCCAUAAGAUUGGAGUGGUGUUUGUAGGAGCUGGACAGGUAUUCAACGAGGUGUCCAUCUUGUCCAAUGAGUAUGGUUCUAACCGCUAUGCUGGCUUCCUGACCGGCCUGGGGAAGUUGAUCCACCUGAAGGACUGUGAUCCAGACCAGAUCUUCCUGGGGGGUCUAGACCAGUAUGGAGAUGACGGGGAGUUUACCUACUGCUGGCACGAUGACAUCAUGCAGGCCAUCUUCCACAUAGCCACCCUGAUGCCCAACAGAGACAGUGAUAAGGGCUGCUGUAACAAGAAGAGACACAUUGGAAACGACUUUGUUAUGGUGGUUUACAACGACUCAGGAGAGGAGUACAAACUGGGGACCAUCAAGGGUCAGUUUAACUUUGUUGAGGUGAUCAUUAAGCCUCUGGACUACGGAAGUAACCUGGUCACCCUGCAGUGCAGGAAAGAUCUGGAGGGUCUAGUUGACACCAGUGUAGUGAAGAUCGUCUCAGACCAAAACCUUCCAUUGCUGGUACGACAGAUGGCCCUACACGCUAACAUGGCAUCUCUGGUCCACCAGUACAGAGCAAACCCUUCUGAUGCCUACGCCUCCAAGUGGCUGGCCAGACUACGACACAUCAAGAGACUCCGGACAAGGGCCCAGGAGGAGAUCCAGUCUCGUCCCACCCCCGGUAUCUCUCUGACCCAGAGCCACUCCUCCCAGACCAAACAGUCCUCCUACCAGCAGGUCAGCGGAGGAGGCUCCAACACGGACUCCUCCGGACAGAGGAAGAGACUGGUCUCCACCGUGGACGACUUCACCGACUUCGUCUGAGCCUUGAGGACGCCUUCCCCGUGUCUAAUGUCUAUACUAGUAUACUACUGCGGGUCAAAUGGUACCCUACUCCCUAUAUAGUGUGCUACUGUUGACCAGAGUCAUAUGGACCAUGGUCAACAGUAGUGCACUAUAUAGGGAAUAGGGUGCCCUUUCACACAUAGUUUGCAUCCCCAAUACAUUGGUUUCAUACUAUGUAGUAUGCUAGUAUGGAUAUUGUAACAGAGUGAUAUUUCUGAUACUGUUUCCGGUCCCCCUGCUCAAGGCAGACGUUGCCUCCCUCACCACAGAUCUAGGAUCAGGUUAUCCGAGUGGUUCUAAUGUCCACUAGCAGGAGGAUAAUAAAAUACCUGAUCCUAGAUCUGUUUAGUCAGGGACAACAUUGACCUGCUUUCGCUCUUUCUCUCUUGAUACACACACACACACACACACACCGGUUGAAUAACUUCCUGCUUUCUACCUAUAUGAUUUGACGAUUCUCUCCCAGACAUUUGUCUUGACAAGCUGAUGUGGCUUUUCAUCCAACUGCUCCCAUGAAUUAGCUGUGAUGGUGAUGAGAUGACAGGCUGCACCAUCUGUACCGAACUAACGCUGCGUCCCUAUUGUCUUUCUAAUACACUAUGCUUGACCAGGACACGUGGGCUCUGUCUAAAGUAGUGCACUAUGUAGAGGGAAUAGGGUGCCAUUUGGAACGCAGAGAAAGACCCCCCCCCCCCCGUGGUUUACACAGCCGACGCCCACCCUUUCAUCCCUCUCCUCAUUUCCUUCUCUCAUCCCCUCGCAAAACCACUCAGAAGGAAGUAUGGUAACACCACAUUUGAAAGCUGUGUGUGUGUACAGAAUAAACAAAACAAAUAGCCAA